AGAAUGAAAAAGCUGUUUUGGGAAGAUGUUCCAAACCCCAAGAACUGUUCCUGGGCACAAGGACUUAAUUUUCAGAAGGGCAGGGAGACCAUCAGGCCCACCUCAGCAAAUGGAGUUUGAACCUGCGCCCAAUGAUCUUCCCCCCUUCCAAAGAUGGCGGCACAAAGGAGCCACUCGAUGGUUAGAGGCUGAGCCGAGAACGGACAUUCUUUGAAGUCUAAUCAUGAUCACUACAGAUGAACCCAAUGUGCCACCUUCCCAACAUUCUGUAGAGUAUUAGAAGAUUUUUACAUUUUGAAGAAGGGGAAACAAAUCUAAAAAAUAUGUGGUUGAACUCUUGAGAACUAAAAUAUGGUGGAUGAUGUUGAUUUAGAACUUAAAAUAGAAGCGCAAAUUUGGGGUCAAGAGAUAGGUGUGAGUCCAAUUCAGUUCGAAUAUAUGAUUACACUUCAGGUCACCUUAAGCUUAAAAAGUAAUAUGGUAUCUGGGUUUUGAUUCAUCAUUUGUGUGGUCAUAAAACACUGAAAACUAUAACUGUUCUAUCUAUUCAAUAUCAUCGGGUAAGUAGCAGACAAUGCCGUAACUAGGUGAAAACUGCAGCUUCUGACACAUAACUUCGCAAACACAAUGAAUCUAAUUACAAGAUACAGUGUAACUAGUUUAUAUUUUUAUGUCCAAAAUUUUCCAUUUUGUAUUCUUUUAUAGACACCUGAGCUUAUAACCGGACCCAUGUGGGUGUUCUUUUGACUGUCUUGUAGUUUUUUUGUCUGUCCAACUUUGGUCAAUCUGGGAAUUCCCAUCUUCAGUAGUCUUGCAAAUGGCUUACGCACUAACUUCGAUUUCAGUUCAGGGAAGGCCAGAAGGUUGGGUGUGUGCUGGUCACAGGCCAGUGGAAGUUACAGUUCAUAACAGAAUGACCUGACAGAUCCAGAUCAGAUUGACCGGAUCAGAAAACACAUCAGCCUCCAAUUCAGCCUCUUUGUGAAAUUCUUGCCUAAAUUUAAUUUAUUUACACCGAACCACCCAAAGCUUCUGGCAGGCAGAGAUGUACACAGUGAUGCAAAAAGGGAGCUUUUAUUUGUAAAAUAGUUCAUGGCAAAGACAAGACGUUUCUUCCUGAAAAAAAAAAAAAAACCCUUGCUAUUUCUAUGAUAUCAGCAUAGUAAGUGUGUUAUGUUGCUCACAUUCAAAAUAAACCAAAGCCUCUGUUUGAGGAGCCUAAAUAAUAUUCAAAUUACUUCUAGAUCUCUUACAUUUAGAUUUCAUUCAUAGUUUUACUUGGCCAUAAAAACAACACUAAAAAUGAGUAAGAAUGUGUCCUUUUUUCCCCUUCACUGACUUUUGAUAGAUAUCAUUGGAAUGUAAAAUCUAAGUGUGAGAUUAUGAAAGGAUAUUCUCUAAUUCCUACCAGCUGAAUACAUAUUUAAUAUGCUCCCAGACUGUUCUAAAAUCUUGAAAAAUUAGAUGCAUAUAAUGAUUGAAACAAUUUUUUAAUGAAUAUACUUUUAAUAAAGGUUUAUAACCCAUUGAUAAAAUAUACUUCAAUAAUAUGCGGGUAUGCAAUUUCUUAUUAACUAUUAGUGAAAUCUUACAUCUGAAUGCAUUUGAAGACACGUGCAUUACUCAGCAUCAAUAAUUAGUUACCGAUUUAGAGAGCAUGCGAUAUACCAAAAAUAUCAUCUGAAGAGCAUUUGUGUCUUUGUGUGCUAUUGGCUCUUUGUAUUUUUUGUUUUCAUAUUGAUAGCACGUAAUGCCUUUAUUUGGUAACCAUAAUUUCUAGGUUCAUUUAAAUUUUAAGAAAUUCAAGACGUAUGUAGUAGUAAGUUUAAGAAAAAACAAAAUGAGCAAGUAAAUAUUUGAAGGAAAUCAUAAAUCUAAUGAUAGAUUUCUGUCAGAAAGAGAAAAAGCAUAGGAAGCUUUCGUCUAUUAUGUUCAUAGACUAACAGAAAAGGUUGUGUUAACAUGGUAUUUGUCAUUAUGCAGUAUUUUAAUAUCUAUAUAAGCCUAUUCCAUUUUUAUUAUAUUUAGUGUUUGGUAUAUUUAUUCUUUUAUAGUUAUAACCACCAAUAUGUUUCAUUUAAGAGUUUAAAACUAUGCUAAUUAAUUAUGUUUUUAUAUGGAAUACAUUUGCCAGUAUGAAGAAGAGUUGGGUAAAUUGUUAUUUCAGGCAAUAAAUUUGAAUUCAUUCUAGUGGUUUAAAAAUUGUAAAAUUCAAACGUUCAACCAUAUGUAUGUCUUACGAAUUGAACACAUUUUCAGUGGCACUUCAUUUAGCUGCGUCCAUUUUUCAGUGUGAUGUGUCCACGGUAGUCUUUAUUUUGCAUUUAUUUUUUCAAUAUGUUUAUGUUGUACGAAUUGAGCUUUUUACACAGAUUCUUGAUUUGUAGCUGUGUGACAGGAUUUUUUGUUGUGUUGUAACCAGCAUUCUUAUAAAAGAUACGAUGUGCAUUU